UGGCUGAUCAGAGAGCGGAGGGCCUCGCCGGGGCCGGGAGCUGGGCGCGGUCCUGCUCAGCCCAGCUCGCCGCGCGCCGGCCCUCGGCGCCCUGGUUCUGCGGAUCAGGAGUUGAAACCAGCACCUUCCCUUUCUCUGAGUCCUGCCUCCUUCUGCAGAAGGGAGCUCAAAAGAACUUUGUUGUUUUGCCUUUUACUCUGGGGUGAAAGCGGCAGACGAUGAGGUACGUGAGAUGGUGAAAUGAUUUGCUUCUGCCAUGCUAGGGUCACGGGUGGAUCCCCCUAAACUCUCGGUGGCCCCCUCAGUAGUUUUGGAAGAGGACCAAGUCCUUGUCUGUCCAGCAGUGGAUCUGGAAGCAGGAUGCCGGCUCAGGGACUUCACUGAGAAAAUAAUGAAUGUCAAAGGAAAAGUAAUUCUGUCAAUGCUGGUUGUCUCAACUGUGAUCAUUGUGUUUUGGGAAUUUAUCAACAGCACAGAAGGCUCUUUCUUGUGGAUAUAUCACUCAAAAAACCCAGAAGUUGAUGACAGCAGUGCUCAGAAGGGCUGGUGGUUUCUGAGCUGGUUUAACAAUGGGAUCCACAAUUAUCAACAAGGGGAAGAAGACAUAGACAAAGAAAAAGGAAGAGAGGAGACCAAAGGAAGGAAAAUGACACAACAGAGCUUCGGCUAUGGGACUGGUUUAAUCCAAAGAAACACCCAGAGGUUGUGACAGUGACCAGAUGGAAGGCGCCGGUUGUGUGGGAAGGCACUUUCAACAAAGCCAUCCUAGGAAAUUAUUAUGCCAAAUAGAAAAUUACCGUGGGGUUGAUGGUUUUUGCUAUUGGAAGAUAUAGUGAGCAUUACUUGGAGGAGUUCAUAACAUCUGCUAAUAGGUACUUCAUGGUUGGCCACAAAGUCAUAUUUUACAUCAUGGUGGAUGAUGUCUCCAAGGUGCCGUUUAUAGAGCUGGGUCCUCUGCAUUCCUUCAAAAUGUUUGAGGUCAAGCCAGAGAAGAGGUGGCAAGACAUCAGCAUGAUGCGUAUGAAGAUCACUGGGGAGCACAUCUUGGCCCACAUCCAACACGAGGUCGACUUCCUCUUCUGCAUGGAUGUGGACCAGGUCUUCCAAGACCAUUUUGGGGUGGAGACCCUAGGCCAGUCAGUGGCUCAGCUACAGGCUGGCGGUACAAGGCAGAUCCCUAUGACUUUACCUAGGAGAGGUGGAAAGAGUCAGCAGGAUACAUUCCAUUUGGCCAGGGGAUUUUUAUUACCAUGCAGCCAUUUUUGGAGGAACACCCAUUCAGGUUCUCAACAUCACCCAGGAGUGCUUUAAGGGAAUCCUCCUGGACAAGAAAAAUGACAUAGAAGCCGAGUGGCAUGAUGAAAGCCACCUAAACAAGUAUUUCCUUCUCAAUAAACCCUCUAAAAUCUUAUCCCUAAAAUACUGCUGGGAUUAUCAUAUAGGCCUGCCUUCAGAUAUUAAAACUGUCAAGUGAUCGUGGCAGACAAAAGAGUAUAAUUUGGUUAGAAAUAAUGUCUGACUUCAAAUUGUGCCAGUAGAUUUCUGAAUUUGAGAGAGAAAUAUUCUGGCUACUUCCUCAGAAAAGUAACACUUAAUUUUAACUUCAAAAAAUACUAAUGAAACACCAACAGGGCAAAAACAUACCAUUCCUCCUUGUAACUUGGGGCUUUGUAAUGUGGAAGAAUGAAUCUAGGGUAAUCAGAUAUAAAUUCCCAGUGAUUUCUUAUCUAUUCUGGGUUUGGGGGAAAUACUAUCAACUGAACCAAAAAUAACUUGUCAUAGGCAGAGAUAAAGCCAGAAACACUCUACACAUGCCAGAUGACAUCUGGAGAAAAGGGUGCUAAGGGAAGCGUUUGGCAGCAAGAUAUGAUUGUAAGGGGUUGUCCCUUGAGUUCAAUGUCUGCCUAUUUCUGAUGGGUCUAAAGCAACAUGGAGUUACUGUGCAGCAGAGCUCUCAGUAAAGACACCAUUUGCCUUGGCAAUCCUCAAAAAGCUUCAAUAGCAGAUUGCUUCAGACCAUCUGUAGUCCGUCCUUUUCUCAUCUGGAUGUUGUUUGGCUUCUGUGCGAAAGAUUGGUGGAGUAUCCCAGUAGAUAUCAUGGUGGUGUGUGAUCAGAGUCCCAAGGAACCUGAAUGAGCCAAGGUGCCCAGCAUGAAGUCAAAACAAAGCCUUGACAUGAGUUUGCCAUGAAAUAGCGAAGAGAGAGUGGAAGAGAGGAGCCAAUCACUGUGGGGCAGUGCCACCCUGAGGGCACUUAGGGUAUGGGGUUGGUGCUUAAAUACAUCACAGAUCCGGGUACUGAAUGGGAGGAAGUGUGGGUGAUUUCCAAUCUCAUUGACCCUAUGUUCAGGGACUUGAACGGAAGAUGUUUCUUGUGUUGCCUAAGUGGUAUUCAGUCUACCAGACUCUGCAACUUGCAUCUUCAAAUCCUUGGUAAAGAGAUGUGGAUGGUGUCAGAGAAGGCAAAGGCCUGCAGUGGAUUGAAGAGGCUUGCAAGCAGUUCUGUUUCUAGGAUGUGGGCUUCAUCAGAAGACACUCAGUCACCACUUAGCUAGUCUAAACCUCAGGGUUCCUCAGCCCAUCAUACCCCAACUUGGAGGACUGACAUCAAGGAGUAGACUGGAGAAACAGCCCUCCCAUCAAGUAACCUCUUGUUCUCUCCUGCUCCAUCUGCACUAUGGAAGUGUAACAAUUAGACAUACUUGGCAAAAUGGCUAAUUGAUUUGGUAACAGAAGCAUGAGCCAUAACAAUGGAAGAUCUAGUUAUCAUGACUGAACAGCUUAACAUUCAAUUCCCUUCUCUAAGAGAAGCUGUGAAAUCCUACAUAUUAUUUAAAGUUAACCAAAUCAAUGUAAAGGGAGUUAGGAGACAGUGUGUACCUAUGCACAUAUAUUUAUGUUUUGCUUGUGUUCCAGUCUCGGUCAUUUGUUUCCAUUUUCAAGCAAUUUAUUUGAAGAGCCAUUGCACUAGCCUGAUGUAUACUGCAAUGAGCUUCUUUGAUAAAAUGAAACUUAGAUUUUUCUCGACCAUUUCACCGUGCCUCCUACUUCAUUUUUUGCCAGAAAAUCUCACAUCCAACAAAACAAAACAAAAACCCUGAAUUAGUGGGCUUUGAAAAGGAAAAAGCAGGGCUUUGAAAAAGUAGAUCACACAUCAGUUAAGACUCCUGCUUCUCUAUUAGUCAGGUUGUCUUGGAUUCAGUCUGGAGUAGGCAGAGCUUAAGGGUUUUUAAGUCCUGACCCAAAGAAAUGAUCUAGCCUGAAAGUUUAGAGCAAAGGACUAAUGUUUACUUUUAAAGGAAUUUCUUGAUUUUUUAAAAAAACUUCAUUAAAGUUUAAAUCUCCAAUGGACAAAUUCAUAAUCUUGUUCAUCGUUAUUACUAAACUUUUUUUUAAAUGUCCCAAUUUACAAUUAAAUAAAUUAUUUUCUCAGU
rnacentral:sRNA from 1 species